AGUGAACGCUGGCGGCGUGCCUAAUACAUGCAAGUCGAACGACGUGGCGCACGGGUGAGUAGUAUAUAGUUAAUCUGCCCUACACAGAGGAACAACAGUUGGAAACGACUGCUAAUACCUCAUAGUGUAGGAUGAGACUAUAUCGUAUCAGCUAGUUGGUAAGGUAAUGGCUUACCAAGGCUAUGACGCGUAACUGGUCUGAGAGGAUGAUCAGUCACGUUGGAACUGCGACACGGUCCAAACUCCGACGGGGGGCAUCAGUAAGGAAUAAUGCGCAAUGGGGGAAGCCCAGACGCAGCAACGCCGCGGGGAGGAUGACACUUUUCGGAGCGUAAACUCCUUAUAACAGGAAAGCGGGACCAGAUGAAUAAGCACAAGCUAACGUAGUGCCAGCAGCCGCGGUAGUAC
rnacentral:rRNA from 1 species